CACAGGUGGUCAGGUAGAGAAUACCAAGGCGCUUGAGAGAACUCGGGUGAAGGAACUAGGCAAAAUGGUGCCGUAACUUCGGGAGAAGGCACGCUGAUAUGUAGGUGAAGUCCCUCGCGGAUGGAGCUGAAAUCAGUCGAAGAUACCAGCUGGCUGCAACUGUUUAUUAAAAACACAGCACUGUGCAAACACGAAAGUGGACGUAUACGGUGUGACGCCUGCCCGGUGCCGGAAGGUUAAUUGAUGGGGUCAGCGCAAGCGAAGCUCUUGAUCGAAGCCCCGGUAAACGGCGGCCGUAACUAUAACGGUCCUAAGGUAGCGAAAUUCCUUGUCGGGUAAGUUCCGACCUGCACGAAUGGCGUAAUGAUGGCCAGGCUGUCUCCACCCGAGACUCAGUGAAAUUGAACUCGCUGUGAAGAUGCAGUGUACCCGCGGCAAGACGGAAAGACCCCGUGAACCUUUACUAUAGCUUGACACUGAACAUUGAGCCUUGAUGUGUAGGAUAGGUGGGAGGCUUUGAAGUGUGGACGCCAGUCUGCAUGGAGCCGACCUUGAAAUACCACCCUUUAAUGUUUGAUGUUCUAACGUGGACCCGUGAUCCGGGUUGCGGACAGUGUCUGGUGGGUAGUUUGACUGGGGCGGUCUCCUCCUAAAGAGUAACGGAGGAGCACGAAGGUUGGCUAAUCCUGGUCGGACAUCAGGAGGUUAGUGCAAUGGCAUAAGCCAGCUUGACUGCGAGCGUGACGGCGCGAGCAGGUGCGAAAGCAGGUCAUAGUGAUCCGGUGGUUCUGAAUGGAAGGGCCAUCGCUCAACGGAUAAAAGGUACUCCGGGGAUAACAGGCUGAUACCGCCCAAGAGUUCAUAUCGACGGCGGUGUUUGGCACCUCGAUGUCGGCUCAUCACAUCCUGGGGCUGAAGUAGGUCCCAAGGGUAUGGCUGUUCGCCAUUUAAAGUGGUACGCGAGCUGGGUUUAGAACGUCGUGAGACAGUUCGGUCCCUAUCUGCCGUGGGCGCUGGAGAACUGAGGGGGGCUGCUCCUAGUACGAGAGGACCGGAGUGGACGCAUCACUGGUGUUCGGGUUGUCAUGCCAAUGGCACUGCCCGGUAGCUAAAUGCGGAAGAGAUAAGUGCUGAAAGCAUCUAAGCACGAAACUUGCCCCGAGAUGAGUUCUCCCUGACCCUUUAAGGGUCCUGAAGGAACGUUGAAGACGACGACGUUGAUAGGCCGGGUGUGUAAGCGCAGCGAUGCGUUGAGCUAACCGGUACUAAUGAACCGUGAGGCUUAACCUUACAACGCCGAAGGUGUUU
rnacentral:rRNA from 1 species